UAUCUACUCCCUCCGUCCGCAAAUACUUGUCAUUAAAAUGGACAAAAAGGAAUGUAUCUAGAACUAAAAUACAUUUAGAUACACCCCCUUUUAUUCAUUUUGAUGACAAGUAUUUCCGGACGGAUGGAGUAUUUU
rfam:Triticum aestivum genome assembly, contig: Triticum_aestivum_CS42_TGACv1_scaffold_195051_3AL